UACAGAGGUGGCAAGCGUUGUUCGGAAUUACUGGGCGUAAAGGGCGCGUAGGCGGUCUUGCAAGUCCUGUGUGAAAUCCCUCGGCUCAACUGAGGAACUGCACAGGAAACUGCUUGGCUUGAGUUCGGGAGAGGGAAGCGGAAUUCCGGGUGUAGCGGUGAAAUGCGUAGAUAUCUGGAGGAACACCGGUGGCGAAGGCGGCAUCCUGGACCAAUAUUGACGCUGAGGAGCGAAAGCCAGGGGAGCAAACGGG
rnacentral:rRNA from 1 species